GAUGAACGCUGGCGGCGUGCCUAAUACAUGCAAGUCGAGCGAACAGACGAGGAGCUUGCUCCUCUGACGUUAGCGGCGGACGGGUGAGUAACACGUGGAUAACCUACCUAUAAGACUGGGAUAACUUCGGGAAACCGGAGCUAAUACCGGAUAAUAUAUUGAACCGCAUGGUUCAAUAGUGAAAGACGGUUUUGCUGUCACCUAUAGAUGGAUCCGCGCCGCAUUAGCUAGUUGGUAAGGUAACGGCUUACCAAGGCAACGAUGCGUAGCCGACCUGAGAGGGUGAUCGGCCACACUGGAACUGAGACACGGUCCAGACUCCUACGGGAGGCAGCAGUAGGGAAUCUUCCGCAAUGGGCGAAAACCUGACGGAGCAACGCCGCGUGAGUGAUGAAGGUCUUCGGAUCGUAAAACUCUGUUAUUAGGGAAGAACAAAUGUGUAAGUAACUAUGCACGUCUUGACGGUACCUAAUCAGAAAGCCACGGCUAACUACGUG
rnacentral:rRNA from 1 species